CAGAAUGUGUAAUGGCGGGCGACUUUUGACGUUGCAGACACAGUAACAAAUGUAGCAAUAGGUAAGGUACGCGUAUCGCAUGAAUAAUGAAAUAUAUGGCAUAUGGUGUCUUUUUUAAUAUUAUAAUGUAUUUUCACAUCAAGAAAUGGAAAUAAUUUGAGUGAAAGCUGUAUUUAUCAAAAGAAAAAUAGCAAGCGGAGUUUAAGCUCCGCCCACCUGUUUACCUUAUUUGGAAAUUCAAUGUAGUUGCGAAGCUUGCAGUUUGCAAGUUGGUUAAUUGAAAAUAACUAAAGUAACCGUGCACUUGUCAGUUGAGAUUAUAACGACCUGGUUGAAGAAACUGAUGAGAACAAAUGGAAAAUUUAUUCAAUAUGAUCCAAUGUCAGGACAAAACACGACUUAGGUGUAAUUUAUCGCUUUCAGGUAUUACAAUCUAGAGAUAUAUACUAAAAUGCAGAGGGAAUGGCUUGUGCACUAAGAGAUCAGAUAAUAAGGUUCCACUAAAGUCAAAAAUAUAGGACACUUCAUAAAACAUCUAAACUUUGCCUGUAUCAGAGGCGGAUUUAGGGGGGGCAGGGGGCCCGGGCCCCCCCUUUUUGAGAAAAAAUUGGGUUGCUUAUAUAGGGAAUCAUUGAAGCGUGACUGAAGCGGGCCCCCUCUUAGGUCAGUCAGUGGGCCCCCACUUAUGAAAAUUCCUGGAUCCGCCACUGUGUAUUUUUCAACCUAUAAUGAAUAAAGUCAUAAACUAUGAGAACAUAUGUUCGGUGUCUUUCGUAUUAAAAUGUGUCAAAGAGACAGCAACCCAACCAUAGAACAGACAAUAGCAGAAGGUCACCAACUUGUUUUCGUGUUCAGACGUUUUAUCUUCUAUGUUUCGUGUUUAGUAGGAUGACUUGAUGUGUGCUUCAUGUUUCCCCUUAUUUAUUUUCCAUGUUUCCUGUCAUACUCUUUAACUUCUCGUGCUUUUGACAUACAUCAUGUACAUGACAUAUUAUUUUUAUACAGUAUAUAUAUAAUAAUUAUAAUCAGUAUUAAAAUUGAAUAGUCACUGCAUCCACUUUCCCUCUAAAAUUAGAGUACAUGGAUGAUAUCAAAUAUCUGAACUGUGUCCCUGUUCAGUGUUCAGCUAUAUACAUGUAUAUCCCCAGUAAACAGAAUCGAGCCAUAAUGGUAUUUUUAAAAUUUUCAUUGCGAGACCUCAUGUCCAAGAGGCAGGAAAAAAAAAACCACUUGUAAUAAAGCUGUGUAUUCUGUUAUAACAGACAAUUGUGUACAAGCAUGAACGGAUGCAAAUCAUAUCAUUUAUUAAAUGGAAAAGGCCACAGCCUGUUUAGAAACGGUCAAUUUUGACGGUAUAUUAAAGUCAGUCUGUCUGUCUGUUCCAGAAUUGAAUAUUUUUCGUCGCAUCUUUCUCAGGAAAAUAACAUGGACUUCUUAAAUUUGGUUUGAGGGUUUAUAUGAGUCAGCAAUACCGUGUGAUGCUUUUUCAUAUUCAUCACUCAACAAAUUCCUGUGUACCUUAAAAUUCUUAAAGUGUAUGGGGGUAUCAAAAGUGAUCAGUAGCUCACAGAUUCACUUGUUUGUUUUAUAGUAUUUUAUAUUUUUUGUGGGGGAGGGGGCUGGCUAUUGUGAGCAGUGUUCUCAGCACUUCUAGUUAAUCAUAAAAAUUACAUUAAGACGAGCAAAAAUUAGCAACAUGCAUAUCCUGGGUUCAUUUAAUUUGCAUUAAUAUAAACAUUGUCAUUAAAACAUUUAAUCCCGCUGCAAAUGUUUGCACCUGUUCUAAGUCAGGAAUCUGAUGUACAGUAGUUGUCGUUUGUUUAUGUAAUUUAUAAGUGUCUCUCGUUUCUUGUUUUUUAUAUAGAUUAGACCGUUUGUUUUCCUGUUUGAAUGGUUUUACACUUGUAAUUUUGGGGCCCUAUAUAGCUUGUUUAUUGAUGUGAGCCAAGGCUCCGUGUUGAAGGCCAUACAUUGACCUACAUGUAUAAUGGUUUACUUUUAUAAAUUGUUAUUUGGAUGGACAUGAUAGAGAGUUGUCUCAUUGGCACUCACACCACAUCUUCCUACAUUGUAUUUCUAUUGUAUGGCAAAAGUGAUUUCUUUAUUUUAAAAAAUAUAUGAUUCAUUAUCAUGAUUAUACAUGUUACGAUGUAUACACAGGUUCAUACUAUUUUUGACAUACAUGACAUAUAGCUCUGUAAUUUUAUUCACUACUUGUACAUCUUUGGAUUUUAAAUGUUUGGCUUUGAGCGUUCCUGAUGAAGGUAAAUCCAGACUCAGCCAGAAAAGUGCUAUGGACGCAUGAAAUUAUUGAACCUGCUGUUUUCAAUUUUUCAUGCUCCUUUAUUUUAAAAAAAAAGUAUAUAAUUACAUUCUCUUUUUUUUUUUAGGUCACCUGACAAUAACAGGAUUGAGGUUACAGUAUGCCAUUCAAGCUGUGAUGAAAUAUAAAGUAAUGGUUUGAAUUUGGAGAGCUUCAUUACAUGUAUUAUAGACAGGUAAAUUGUUUUAUCCUGCAAUUAUCUACAUGAUCUAACUAUUGUACAUGUACAAUGGGACGACUCACCUGAAGGGUCCCAAGUUAAACAGAAAUUAAAAACUAUAUAUAUGUCAUCAUUUAGGCCUUAUGGCCUUCAACAAUGAGAAAAACACAUUCUGCCACAUUGUCUUCUCUAAAAGGCGCCAAAUCAUAAUAUUAAUAAACCUGUUGAAGUAGAAAACUAAUGGCCUUAUUUAUGUGAGAAAAAAGUGAAUGAACAAACAAACAAACAAACAGCAACAAACAAGUGCUCAAUUAAAUAUUACAGACACAUACAUAGUCAGGGGUACUACAUGUAUUUGUACAAGUUUAUUUUAUUUACUUGAAGAAGUAAAAAAAAAUACACAUAACACGUAUAAGUAAAUAGAUAAUGUUUGAAUAAUCUAGCCUUAAUUUUCUCAAAAAUUUACUUGUACAAGUAAACCAUGUAAACAUUUCUUUCAAUCCUAAAAAAAAUCCUCAAGUUUUGAGAUGUGAAUCAUGCCUUUAAUGAUCAUGGUGAUUUUUCCCAGUUUAGCUCAAUUUUUUUUUUAUUUUAAGUUCAAUGUUUCAUCUCAUUAUAUGAAUCCAUCAAAGAAAUUGAUUGAGCAAAGAUCUUGUAUAUUUGUGCAAGGCCUUCAAAAAUUGCUCCUUUGAGGCUUGUAAAUGAGCAGUGUUGUGAAGAUAACAGACAAAUGGGAUUUUCAUUGUCUAUGAAAUUACACUUAAAUGAUUGGUAAAGACAUCUGCAGAGAGUACACAAUUUAAAAUUCGAUUAGUGCAAAGAAAUCUCAAGAAUACAAGAAAGAAAAAAGGAUGUAAAACAAGUACAAUGUAAAACAUUCUGAAUGUGUAAGGGACAUAACUAUGCCAUUUUUUGGUUUACCCAUACAACAUGUACAAGUAAAUAAGAUUCACUUGUAUAAGUAUCCUACAAAUUCACUUUUUUUUUCCAUUCUUCAAGAAUUGCAAUACAAUAAUUAAUGUACUUAAUAUAAAUCAUGAUAAUUUCUGAAUUCAAAAUGAAGUAAAAUUGAGAAUGGAAAUGGGGAAUGUGUCAAAGAGACAACAACCCGACCAAAUAAAAAAAAAAUAACAGCAGAAGGUCACCAACAUGUAAUUCCCGCACCCGGAGGCGUCCUUCAGUGUCUGUAUAUAUAUGUACGAGCAGUAAUAUUUAUUUACACAGACAUGACAGAUAUGCCUAUAACCAUGAUAAUAAUAAUAUACUGAACUUGCUAGCUAAAAUUUCUUGUGGAUUCUUGAUAUUGAUCAUGUUGAUAUUGAAGUAUUCCUGUCACUGUUCACAUUUGGAAAAGGAGAUACAAAAUAAUGAAGUUCAACAUAAUAUUUAAAUAUUUAUUACAUUUUACAUAGUGCGCCUUAUUAAAAUGUGUUUGGAAAAUUUAUUUUUUGUUCAAAUGUUGAAUGAAGACAUUACUACUGGUAAAAAAGGACGAGAAUUAUUUUGUUAGCAUUUUAACAGUACUUUUUGAAGAAGUAUGUUUGCACUAACUUUUGAUUACUUUUUCUCAUAUUGAAAAUUUCAUUUGAUAUAUACAUUGUACUUGUAUUAUAUUUGCAUUUUCAUAUUUCAGGGAUGAAGACCUGCAGUCAGACACCAGUUAAAAGUUACUUAUAACUCAUCAUGGCCAUUAUGGAAGAUCUGAUUAAAAUUUGUCUAGAAAGCCACCAAAUAUGUCCAUGAAAAAUAGAAAAAUGACAGCAAAU
rnacentral:lncRNA from 1 species